rnacentral:rRNA from 1 species
CCUACGGGGGGCUGCAGUAGGGAAUAUUGCGCAAUGGGGGAAACCCUGACGCAGCGACGCCGCGUGAGUGACGAAGGCCUUAGGGUCGUAAAGCUCUGUUGCACGGGAAGAAAAAAAUGACGGUACCGUGCGAGAAAGGAUCGGCUAACUUCGUGCCAGCAGCCGCGGUAAGACGAGGGAUCCUAGCGUUGUUCGGAAUCAUUGGGCGUAAAGCGUAUGUAGGCGGCCUUAUAAGUCAGGUGUGAAAGCCCCGGGCUCAACCCGGGAAGUGCAUCUGAUACUGUUUGGCUUGAGUACUGGAGAGGAUAGUGGAAUUCCUGGUGUAGUGGUGAAAUACGUAGAUAUCAGGAGGAACACCGGUGGCGAAGGCGGCUAUCUGGCCAUGUACUGACGCUGAGAUACGAAAGCGUGGGGAGCAAACAGGAUUAGAUACCCUAGUAGUC